GUGAGGAAUAUUGGUCAAUGGGCGGGAGCCUGAACCAGCCAAGUCGCGUGAAGGAAGAAGGAUCUAUGGUUCGUAAACUUCUUUUGCAGGGGAAUAAAGUGCGGGACGUGUCCUGUUUUGUAUGUACCCUGAGAAUAAGGAUCGGCUAACUCCGUGCCAGCAGCCGCGGUAAUACGGAGGAUCCGAGCGUUAUCCGGAUUUAUUGGGUUUAAAGGGUGCGUAGGUGGUUUGAUAAGUCAGCGGUGAAAGUUUGCAGCUUAACUGUAAAAAUGCCGUUGAAACUGUCGGACUUGAGUGUAAAUGAGGUAGGCGGAAUGCGUGGUGUAGCGGUGAAAUGCAUAGAUAUCACGCAGAACUCUGAUUGCGAAGGCAGCUUACUAAGCUACAACUGACACUGAAGCACGAAAGCGUGGGGAUCAAACAGGAUUAGAAACCCCAGUAGUCC
rnacentral:rRNA from 1 species